GGAGCUAACGUGAGUUUUUCAGGCCUGCUAAGCCCAGAAAACCGUGGUUUAACUCCAUGGGAGCUUCG
rnacentral:tRNA from 1 species